rnacentral:RNase_P_RNA from 1 species
UAAGUAGUCAAGACAAUCGCGGCUGCCUUUCUGGCAGAUGAGGAAAGUCCGGGCUCCAGAGGGCAGCGUGCUGGAUAACGUCCAGCGGGGGUGACCCCAGGGAUAGCGCCACAGAAAACAAACCGCCGGGCAACCGGUAAGGCUGAAACGGUGCGGUAAGAGCGCACCAGCGGGCAGGUGACUGUCCGGCUUGGCAAGCCC